AUGGGCGAGUGGAGCUCCACUCUCAAACCGGAAAUACGUCACCUCCACUUGAAAACAUCAAGAUGGCGUCGCCGGGAGUACUUCAAACUUAAAAUCAGGGAUAGGAUUGGCAUGGAAGAUGCAGCACUCUUUACAUUUUAAAUAUCAAAUGUAUAUCAAGUGUUAUCCAUCCUGAUAACACCUCCACAAAUAGAGACUGGAACUUCUGAGCACCAUCACCUUGUCUGCUAUGGGACUGUCAUAGCCCAGCAAUCAGAUGCAUCAGAACAACAAAGCACAACUGUGGUGGACCAGGCACCUUCAGCAACAAGUAAAUUGCUUUAACAUUAAUGAUAAUUAAAUGUCAGUAUUGUAAUUAAACUUGACCCAUCUGACGUAAUUGUUCAUGCCAGAGAUUUAACAACACUGUCAGUCAGGAGCAUAUUUAACAGGAGCCACACUCAACUGGCUUGAUGGUGACUUCAGUAAGUGUGGUUGAUCCACUUGUUUUUGUGGCUAUAAUAAUUAGGCUAAGUAAUCUCACUCUCUUCCAUUUCCCUAACAUGAAACUUUUGACUGAAACAUGAAAAUGAUACUUAACCGGUGUAGUGAGGAUAUUUAAAGAGACGCUGUCACUAUCUAAAGUACAGAAAGCCUUACAUCAU